rnacentral:rRNA from 1 species
UACAGAGGUCUCAAGCGUUUGUUCGGAUUCAUUGGGCGUAAAGGGUGCGUAGGCGGCGCGGUAAGUCGGGUGUGAAAUCCCGGGGCUCAACCCCGGAACUGCAUUCGAUACUGCUGCGCUAGAGUACUGGAGAGGAGAUUGGAAUUUACGGUGUAGCAGUGAAAUGCGUAGAUAUCGUAAGGAAGACCAGUGGCGAAGGCGGAUCUCUGGACAGUUACUGACACUGAGGCACGAAGGCCAGGGGAGCAAACGGG